rnacentral:rRNA from 1 species
GACGAACGCUGGCGGCGUGCUUAACACAUGCAAGUCGAACGGAAAGGCCCUGCUUUUGUGGGGUGCUCGAGUGGCGAACGGGUGAGUAACCCGUGAGUAACCUGCCCUUGACUUUGGGAUAACUUCAGGAAACUGGGGCUAAUACCGGAUAGGAGCUCCUGCUGCAUGGUGGGGGUUGGAAAGUUUCGGCGGAUGGGGAUGGACUCGCGGCUUAUCAGCUUGUGGGUGGGGUAGUGGCUUACCAAGGCUUUGACGGGUAGCCGGCCUGAGAGGGUGACCGGCCACAUUGGGACUGAGAUACGGCCCAGACGGCUACGGGAGGCAGCAGUGGGGAAUAUGGCACAAUGGGCGGAAGCCUGAUGCAGCAACGCCGCGUGCGGGAUGACGGCCUUCGGGUUGUAAACCGCUUUCGCCUGUGACGAAGCGUGAGUGACGGUAAUGGGUAAAGAAGCACCGGCUAACUACGUG